rnacentral:rRNA from 1 species
GAAUUCGCCCUUAGAGUUUGAUCCUUGCUCAGGACGAACGCUGGCGGCGCGCCUAACACAUGCAAGUCGAACGGAGCUGAGAGGAGCUUGCUUUCUCAAGCGAGUGGCGAACGGGUGAGUAACGCGUGAGGAACCUGCCUCAAAGAGGGGGACAACAGUUGGAAACGACUGCUAAUACCGCAUAAGCCCACGACCCGGCAUCGGGUAGAGGGAAAAGGAGAAAUCCGCUUUGAGAUGGCCUCGCGUCCGAUUAGCUAGUUGGUGAGGUAACGGCCCACCAAGGCGACGAUCGGUAGCCGGACUGAGAGGUUGAACGGCCACAUUGGGACUGAGACACGGCCCAGACUCCUACGGGAGGCAGCAGUGGGGAAUAUUGCACAAUGGGGGGAACCCUGAUGCAGCGACGCCGCGUGGAGGAAGAAGGUCUUCGGAUUGUAAACUCCUGUUGUUGAGGAAGAUAAUGACGGUACUCAACAAGGAAGUGACGGCUAACUACGUGCCAGCAGCCGCGGUAAAACGUAGGUCACAAGCGUUGUCCGGAAUUACUGGGUGUAAAGGGAGCGCAGGCGGGAAGACAAGUUGGAAGUGAAAUCCAUGGGCUCAACCCAUGAACUGCUUUCAAAACUGUUUUUCUUGAGUAGUGCAGAGGUAGGCGGAAUUCCCGGUGUAGCGGUGGAAUGCGUAGAUAUCGGGAGGAACACCAGUGGCGAAGGCGGCCUACUGGGCACCAACUGACGCUGAGGCUCGAAAGUGUGGGUAGCAAACAGGAUUAGAUACCCUGGUAGUCCACACCGUAAACGA